rnacentral:rRNA from 1 species
GCCUAACACAUGCAAGUCGAGCGAGGUCCAUCCGGUGGCAACACCGGUGAAGACCUAGCGGCGAACGGGUGAGUAACACGUGAGGAACCUGCCCCGAAGUCUGGGAUAACCCGAGGAAACUCGAGCUAAUACCGGAUGCCCUCCACUGAUCGCAUGGUCGGUGGCGGAAAGAUUUAUCGCUUCGGGAGGGCCUCGCGGCCUAUCAGCUAGUUGGUGGGGUAACGGCCCACCAAGGCAUCGACGGGUAGCUGGUCUGAGAGGACGAUCAGCCACACUGGGACUGAGACACGGCCCAGACUCCUACGGGAGGCAGCAGUGGGGAAUCUUGCGCAAUGGGCGAAAGCCUGACGCAGCAACGCCGCGUGCGGGAUGAAGGCCUUCGGGUUGUAAACCGCUUUCAGCAGGGACGAAAUUGACGGUACCUGCAGAAGAAGCCCCGGCCAACUACGUGCCAGCAGCCGCGGUAACACGUAGGGGGCGAGCGUUGUCCGGAUUUAUUGGGCGUAAAGAGCUCGUAGGCGGCUCACUAAGUCGGGUGUGAAACCUCCAGGCUCAACCUGGAGACGCCACCCGAUACUGGUGUGGCUAGAGUCCGGUAGGGGAGCAUGGAAUUCCUGGUGUAGCGGUGAAAUGCGCAGAUAUCAGGAGGAACACCAGUGGCGAAGGCGGUGCUCUGGGCCGGAACUGACGCUGAGGAGCGAAAGCAUGGGGAGCAAACAGGAUUAGAUACCC